UACAGAGGGGGCAAGCGUUAUUCGGAAUUAUUGGGCGUAAAGGGCGCGUAGGCGGCCAUUCAAGUGACGGGUGAAAGCCCUCGGCUUAACCGAGGAACUGCCUGUCAGACUGGAUGGCUUGAGACCGGGAGAGGUGAGUGGAAUUCCCAGUGUAGCGGUGAAAUGCGUAGAGAUGUGGAGGAAUACCGAUGGCGAAGGCAGCCCCCUGGGAUAACACUGACGCUCAUGCACGAAAGCGUGGGGAGCAAACAGG
rnacentral:rRNA from 1 species